UGGGGAAUAUUGCACAAUAGGGGAAACCCUGAUGCAGCGACGCCGCGUGGAGGAAGAAGGUCUUCGGAUUGUAAACUCCUGUUGUUGAGGAAGAUAAUGACGGUACUCAACAAGGAAGUGACGGCUAACUACGUGCCAGCAGCCGCGGUAAAACGUAGGUCACAAGCGUUGUCCGGAAUUACUGGGUGUAAAGGGAGCGCAGGCGGGCGAUCAAGUUGGAAGUGAAAUCCAUGGGCUCAACCCAUGAACUGCUUUCAAAACUGAUUGUCUUGAGUAGUGCAGAGGUAGGCGGAAUUCCCGGUGUAGCGGUGGAAUGCGUAGAUAUCGGGAGGAACACCAGUGGCGAAGGCGGCCUACUGGGCACCAACUGACGCUGAGGCUCGAAAGUGUGGGUAGCAAACAGGAUUAGAUACCCUGGUAGUCCACACCGUAAACGAUGAUUACUAGGUGUUGGAGGAUUGACCCCUUCAGUGCCGCAGUUAACACAAUAAGUAAUCCACCUGGGGAGUACGACCGCAAGGUUGAAACUCAAAGGAAUUGACGGGGGCCCGCACAAGCAGUGGAGUAUGUGGUUUAAUUCGACGCAACGCGAAGAACCUUACCAAGUCUUGACAUCCUGCGACGGUGCUAGAAAUAGUAUUUUCCUUCGGGACGCAGAGACAGGUGGUGCAUGGUUGUCGUCAGCUCGUGUCGUGAGAUGUUGGGUUAAGUCCCGCAACGAGCGCAACCCUUAUGGUCAGUUACUACGCAAGAGGACUCUGGCCAGACUGCCGUUGACAAAACGGAGGAAGGUGGGGAUGACGUCAAAUCAUCAUGCCCUUUAUGACUUGGGCUACACACGUACUACAAUGGCGUUAAACAAAGAGAAGCAAGACCGCGAGGUGGAGCAAAACUCAGAAACAACGUCCCAGUUCGGACUGCAGGCUGCAACUCGCCUGCACGAAGUCGGAAUUGCUAGUAAUCGCAGAUCAGCAUGCUGCGGUGAAUACGUUCCC
rnacentral:rRNA from 1 species